AGGGGUUUAGCUCAGUUGGUAGAGCAUCGGUCUCCAAAACCGAAGGUCGUGGGUUCGAGUCCCUCAGCCCCUGCCA
rnacentral:tRNA from 1 species